rnacentral:rRNA from 1 species
GAUCCUGGCUCAGGAUGAACGCUAGCUACAGGCUUAACACAUGCAAGUCGAGGGGCAGCAUGGUCUUAGCUUGCUAAGGCUGAUGGCGACCGGCGCACGGGUGAGUAACACGUAUCCAACCUGCCGUCUACUCUUGGCCAGCCUUCUGAAAGGAAGAUUAAUACAAGAUGGUAUCAUGAGUCCGCAUGUUCACAUGAUUAAAGGUAUUCCGGUAGACGAUGGGG